GUGGGGAAUCUUGCACAAUGGGGGAAACCCUGAUGCAGCGACGCCGCGUGAGUGAUGACGCCCUUCGGGGUGUAAAGCUCUUUCGACGGGAACGAUUAUGACGGUACCCGGAGAAGAAGCUGCGGCUAACUACGUGCCAGCAGCCGCGGUAAUACGUAGGCAGCAAGCGUUGUUCGGAAUUACUGGGCGUAAAGAGUAUGUAGGUGGUUUGCUAAGUCCGAUGUGAAAUCUCCCGGCUUAACUGGGAGGGUGCGUUAGAUACUGGCAGGCUUGAGUGUGGGAGAGGAAAGCGGAAUUCCUGGUGUAGCGGUGAAAUGCGUAGAUAUCAGGAGGAACGCCUGUGGUGUAGACGGCUUUCUGGACCAUUACUGACACUGAGAUACGAAAGCGUGGGUAGCAAACAGGAUUAGAAACCCCAGUAGUCC
rnacentral:rRNA from 1 species